rnacentral:rRNA from 1 species
AUGGGGUGGCUUUCCUGCUGCAAGCGGUCGAACGGGGCCCAACCCGGCAGGAAGAAGAAGAAGAAGGACACGACAUGGCGCAUCUUCUCACUGAAAGAGCUUCAGUUGGCGACCAACAAUUUUAACUAUGAUAACAAGCUUGGUGAAGGUGGAUUCGGCAGUGUCUACUGGGGCCAGCUCUGGGACGGAUCACAGAUUGCGGUGAAAAGGCUCAAGAGUUGGAGCAACAAGGCUGAAAAGGAGUUUGCUGUCGAGGUCGAGGUUUUGGCACGAGUGCGGCAUAAGAGCCUCUUGAGCUUGCGUGGAUAUUGCGCUGAAGGCCAGGAGCGCCUGAUAGUCUACGACUAUAUGCAGAACCUGAGCUUGCACUCUCACCUGCACGGACAGCAUGCAGCUGAAUGCCAUCUUGGUUGGGAGCGAAGAAUGAACAUCGCCAUUGAUUCGGCUGAGGGCAUCGCUUAUCUUCAUCACCAUGCGAUCCCACAUAUCAUCCAUAGAGACGUCAAGGCGAGCAACGUUCUCCUGGACGCGAAUUUCCAAGCACGUGUCGCUGAUUUCGGGUUUGCGAAACUCAUACCAGACGGUGCGACCCAUGUCACCACAAAGGUGAAAGGCACACUCGGUUACCUAGCGCCGGAGUAUGCCAUGCUUGGCAAGGCCAAAGAGAGCUGCGACGUCUACAGCUUCGGAGUGCUGCUGCUAGAGCUUGCCAGCGGAAAGAAGCCGGUUGAGAAGAUAAACCCUACGACAAAGCUCACCAUCACUGAGUGGGCGCUUCCACUCGCUCGCGAGCAGAAGUUCAAGGAGAUGGCUGACCCAAAGCUGGGGGAUAGCUUUGUCGAGGCCGAGGUGAAGCGGAUGGUGCUCGUCGGGCUUGCUUGCACUCAGACCAAGCCAGAACAGAGGCCGGUGAUGUCUGAAGUUGUGGAGAUGCUCAAGGGGGAAUCUGCCGAGAAGUUCUUUAUCUUGGAGAAUGACGAUCUGUUCAAGCCUCAACCCACCAGCUCUGUCCAGGGCACCUCUGGCCCCUGCAGCUCAGACGCCAUCACCGAAGAGAAGGAAUCGAAAGAGGAUACGAUCGAGGAGGCGACUGAUUCGAGCGAGACGGUGCCCUCAGCUAGGUAG